CCUACGGGAGGCAGCAGUCGAGAAUUAUUCACAAUGGGGGAAACCCUGAUGGUGCGACGCCGCGUGGGGGAAUGAAGGUCUUCGGAUUGUAAACCCCUGUCAUGUGGGAGCAAAUUAAAAAGAGAGUAGCACAAGAGGAAGAGACGGAUAACACUGUGCCAGCAGCCGCGGGAAUACAGAGGUCUCAAGCGUUGUUCGGAGUCAUUGGGCGUAAAGCGUGCGUAGGCUGUUGCGUAAGGCGUGUGUGAAAGGCGCGGGCUCAAACCGCGGAGGGCACAUGAUACUUCGAGACGAGAGUAACGGAGGAAGAACCGGAAUUCUCGGUUGAGCAGUGCAAAGCGUAG
rnacentral:rRNA from 1 species